CAUCUUCAAAUAACGUAUAUUUUUUUUUAAUUUUUUUUUUUUAAUAUUUUUUUUUUUUUUAAUUUUUAUUUAUAUACUGAAAAGAAAUAAAAAAAGAAAAAAAAAAAAAUUUAAACAAACUAAUAUCACGGGCGUGUAUAGAAUCGCUUCAGUGAUCGUAGAAACUAAUCAUCAUGAAAAUAAACAAUUACCCUGGACGGUGGAUCACUUGGCUCGCGGGUCAAGUCGCGGGCUCAAGAGUACGUGAAACCGUUCAGGGGUAAACCUGCGAAACUCGAAUGAACGAACGGAGAGAUUCAUCGUCAUUCGACGGCGUACGGGCGCGCGCCUCGAUGUCGCGCAUACGUGUCCCCUAGCGGGUUCGUCGUGUGUGACACGGGUCGCGUCCGUCGACGUUCGUCGACGGCGUGCACUUCUCUCUCAGUAAUACAUCGCGACCCGUUCGAUGUCGGUCUAAGCGCCGUUCGGGAGUCCAGUCGUGUUCGUGUUCGCGCACGCACUAUUGGACCGUGACGGUGGCCGACCGGCCGUCGGACGGUAGUACAAAAUCGUACAUAUAAUACGAAUCGCGCACGCGUCUCACGCGCGUCCGGCCCGACGCAAGCGAACGUCGUCCGUCGAUUUCCUGCCCGAGUGCGGACGUCGACGCGGCGUUGCUGUCGUCGCUGCCGUGUUUUGUCUCGGACUGUGCGCGUAUCCGUCUGCGAUGAUUCAUUUUCGGGCACUCGCAGGACCCGUCUUGAAACACGGACCAAGGAGUCUAGCAUGUGUGCGAGUCAUUGAGAUAUUUAAAACAUAAAACUGAAAGGCGCAACGAAAGUGAAGGCGCGCGCGCGCUAAACACGCGCGCACGCUCAGGGAGGAUGGAGCUUCGGUCUCGAUCGAUCUCUCGCACUCCCGAGGCGUCUCGUUUCCAAUCCGUGAAUGCAGGCGCGCUCUGAGCACAGAUGCUGGGACCCGAAAGAUGGUGAACUAUGCCUGGUCAGGUCGAAGUCAGGGGAAACCCUGAUGGAGGACCGUAGCGAUUCUGACGUGCAAAUCGAUCGUCGGAACUGGGUAUAGGGGCGAAAGACUAAUCGAACCAUCUAGUAGCUGGUUCCGUCCGAAGUUUCCCUCAGGAUAGCUGGCGUCGAUAAUUAACAGUCCCAUCCGGUAAAGCGAAUGAUUAGAGGCAUUGGGGCCGAAACGACCUCAACCUAUUCUCAAACUUUAAAUGGGUGAGAACUCCGGCUUACUCGAACGAUGAAGCCGGAGAUCUGAUGACGGUGCCAAGUGGGCCAAUUUUGGUAAGCAGAACUGGCGCUGUGGGAUGAACCAAACGUAGUGUUAAGGCGCCUAAAAAACGCUCAUGGGACACCAUGAAAGGCGUUGGUCGCUCAUGACAGCAGGACGGUGGCCAUGGAAGUCGGAAUCCGCUAAGGAGUGUGCAACGACUCACCUGCCGAAGCAACCAGCCCUGAAAAUGGAUGGCGCUGAAGCGUUUUGCCUAUACACUACCGUUACGGGCACGUGCGACGUUGUACGUUUGCGUCAUUAUGCCGUAACGAGUAGGACGUGCGCGGCGGAGUGCGCAGAAGGGUCUGGGCGUGAGCCCGCUUGGAGCCUCCGUCGGUGCAGAUCUUGGUGGUAGUAGCAAAUACUCCAGCGAGGCCCUGGAGGACUGACGUGGAGAAGGGUUUCGCGUGAACAGUAGUUGCUCGCGAGUCAGUCGAUCCUAAGCUCAAGGAGAGAUCUUAUGUCGAUGUGGCGUGUUUUUUUUAUAUAUAUAUAUAUAUAUAUAAACUGAAUAACGCCCCUCGAGCGAAAGGGAAUCCGGUUCCUAUUCCGGAACCCGGCAGCGGAACCGUUUCAAUAAUCGUUCCCUCGUUUCAAAGCGAGUGUUCGACGGGGUAACCCAAAGUGGCCUGAAGACGCCGCCGAGGGGUCCGGGAAGAGUUUUCUUUUCUGCCUGAGCGUUCGAGUUCCAUGGAAUCCUAUAGAAGGGAGAUAUGGUUCGGAACGCGAAGAGCACCGCAUUUGCGGCGGUGUCCGGAUACUCUCUGCGGACCUUGAAAAUUCAGGUGAGGGAUGUACGUGGAGAUGUCGCGCCGGUUCGUACCCAUAUCCGCAGCAGGUCUCCAAGGUGAAGAGCCUCUAGUCGAUAGAAUAAUGUAGGUAAGGGAAGUCGGCAAAUUGGAUCCGUAACUUCGGAAUAAGGAUUGGCUCUGAGGACCGGGGCGUGUCGGGUUUGGACGGGAAGCGGAUGCGGCCGGUGCCGGGCCUGGUCGAAGCUCGUUCGUCUCUCGGGACGUUCGUGCGGAAUCCGGACCCGCGUUCCGGCCUUCCGCGGAUCUUCCUAGCCGUAAGGCCGCGUCGGUUUCGUCUCGUGCGCGAUCGGCGCGGUUCUGUACGACCGCCGUUCAACGGUCAGCUCAGAACUGGCACGGACAAGGGGAAUCCGACUGUCUAAUUAAAACAAAGCAUUGCGAUGGCCCUCGCGGGUGUUGACGCAAUGUGAUUU